rnacentral:rRNA from 1 species
GGCCGCUACCACGCGAGUGGAUGCCAAUCCCUAAAACCCCUCUCAGUUCGGACUGGAGUCUGCAACCCGACUCCACGAAGCUGGAUUCGCUAGUAAUCGCGCAUCAGCCACGGCGCGGUGAAUACGUUCCCGGGCCUUGUACACACCGCCCGUCAAGCCAUGGGAGCCGGGGGUACCUGAAGUGCGUAACCGCGAGGAUCGCCCUAGGGUAAAACUGGUGACUGGGGCUAAGUCGUAACAAGGUAGC